GUCUGAUCGGUUCAAAUUGUUUCAGAUCUGUACACUUCUCGGUCAUGUUGAUAUCUUGAGAGACUUGGAUGGGUGUGUGUUGGUUUGGAGAGGUGGAAUUACUUGGAUUCCUUCUUGGUGGUUGGGGCUGCUGCUUGAGAGCUAGCAUCUGGUUAAGUUUGGACGGGCUGUUUCCCCCGUCUUUGGGUGCUUUUGGUGUACGUACGGUUGUGCUUGUGCUUGUUUUGUGUUUUGUUGUUUUUCUUUUCCUGCUUCUGUCCGACUGUCUUCCGUUGGGUUGUCCCUUUUUGGCCGGCUGGCUCUUAGUUUUUUCUAUGAUUUUUGUUUGGGUUUCUGUUUCGGGUUUUGGGGGCCGGUUAUCCUAGGGGCAAUGGUUCGGACGAGCCUCUGAGGUUGACUUUCCGCCCCUUCCCGUUUUGUUGUCUUUUGGUGCUUUUUCGUUGUUUGUUUGUUUUGGUCUGAGCUCUCUUUCUUGAGGCUCGUCCCUUAGUCUGCACCUGUGCUUUCAAGGGUUUUGUACUUUUUUUUUAUUUCUUUUCAAUAAAAUUUCUAUUUCAGCAG
rnacentral:lncRNA from 1 species